rnacentral:lncRNA from 1 species
GUGAAAGAGCCUCAGUCAACAAAAAUUAAAACCAGCGAGUAUGGUGGCCACUGUGGAGAAGUCUGGCCCCUCUCCAGAAAGAGGCCUGGAUGUUCCCUCUGCUGACCUCCUCAGAAAUAUGCGGCCUCCCGCUGGACAGCCCAUGCUUGCAUCCUCUGGGGACACAAGGCGUGGCCAAGGUGGGAUGGCUGUCUUUAGUGACACCUACUGAUAAGAGCCAAUCGGAACCAUGGCCGAAUUCCUUUGGGCUGGACCUGCCAACAAACUGCUCAGCCCUCCAGAUGUUGCUGCUUUGUGAGAAAUGAGAACUCAAUAAACCAGGCUCACCCUUCCUCCUGGGGUGAGCGCAAAGACAGUCAGAUAUGGAAAAUCACUGCUCCGCACCAUGAACAAUGCACGCAAACGAGGGGAUGGGCCCGACCGUAUUUGUCUUGGUGGAACAGACAGCCAUGAAGCCUGAUGCAAGAAUUUUAGCUGGCAACCGUUCAAAAUGUGACUAUACAUUGCAAUUGCUCAACAAAAGGGGGCCCUUAGCCGGGAGAAAGCCCAAAAAUAGGCUUAAAGAACUAGCUAGAGGAGCUUGUAAAAAGGGUUAAAUAUGUAUCACACAUGACUUUAUGAUGCUGAACGUUUCUCCACCUUCUGUGUUUUUCACAUUUCAUUCUUUGGUGUUAUGUAAUAAAUCAGAAAGAUGCAGCAGUAAAUAGCCUCAUGGCACAUCCGAAGCUUCAGUGAAUAAUAUCCAGUGAGCACUCGCCGUUCUGGAACAAAAUGAACUAAAGUGAAUUAGUUCCUGUCCUCCAGACCAGAGUGUCCCAAUCUUUCUUAGUACAGGACACACUUGUGACCUUGCUGUGAGAAAUAAAUGUGUCGCCGUCUCUUCUCC